rnacentral:rRNA from 1 species
GUACACGCUGUGACUAGCAUAUCAAUAAGCGGAGGAAAAGAAACUAACAAGGAUUCCCCUAGUAACGGCGAGUGAAGCGGGAAGAGCUCAAAUUUGAAAUCUUAAAGGGUUUCCCUUUACGAAUUGUAGUUUAAAGAAGUGUUUUCUGUUGAGGUUUUGGUAAAAGUUCUUUGGAAUAGGACAUCACAGAGGGUGAGAAUCCCGUAUUUGACCUUUACUUUCAACUUUGUGAUACACUUUCAAAGAGUCGGAUUGUUUGGGAAUGCAGUCCAAAAUGGGUGGUAAAUUUCAUCUAAAGCUAAAUAUUGGCGUAGAGACCGAUAGCGAACAAGUACCGUGAGGGAAAGAUGAAAAGAACUUUGAAAAGAGAGUUAAACAGUACGUGAAAUUGUCAAAAGGGAAGCGUUUGACACCAGUGUUGUUUUUCUGAAAAUCAAUUAAAGAACUGUUUAUGCUAAGUUGUUUAGACUUUAUCAGCUAACUGUUUAGUUUUGAGCUUUUCUUUAAUGCACUUUUCAGUUAACAAGUCGAACAUCAAUUUCUUUUGCUGUAAAAAAGCUUGAGGAAGGUGGCUUGAGAUUCGUCUUAAGUGUUUAUAGCCUCUUGCCUAUGCAGUCGGAGAGAUUGAGGGUCUGCAGCGUAGAUCCUUCGGGGCUAAAUGCAUUUGUGCUAAGUUAUAGCAUUUUAUAGACAACUUGUUGACUAUGAUUUGUCUUGUAGCUUACUCGCUUAUGUUAUUUUACCUACGCUUAGGAUGUUGAAGAUGUAGCACAUCAU